GCACCUGUCAUCGGGUAAUAUUCUUGUGAUUAGUUUUGGCUGUGCUGAUGAAACGAUGUUAAAAGAAUGUCAGAACAACCUGUCCUGGGACUCCUACAGGCAGUUUCAAGCUAAGGAAGCCGCGGCAAAACAGGUCUGAACAAACACACUCCAGUGAAAUCUCUGUUUCCCAGGCUUUGCUAAGGCCAUUCUAUGUGUGGAGGGAGAUGCAAUCCUAAGGGCACCCUUUGCCUAUCUGUGCAUUGUCAUUCAUGUUUGUGGAAAUGGCACCUGAGCUAAGAGAAGUGCUGCCAGAGCCUUUUGCAUCCCAUUUCCCUCAUCCCAAGGAAAAGAGUAUGGCCCUGAGGCCACACCCACAUUCGGGUGAUCUCUGCACAAGGAACCAGGAGUUGCUUGGGAGCCACAGGGCCUCCUUUUGCCUGGGACAGGUGACAUUUUUGAGCCGUAUCAGGGGAUGGAAAGUCUACAUGAAUGAGCUUGAAGAGGUGGAACUUGUCCUGUGGAGAGAUAUCCCAUAGAUUUAGAUGCCACUGAAUUCCAUUGCAGCUCAUGGGUCAGCCUUCAUUCAGACAGCAAGAGAAGCAAGCUGGAAUUCAUUGCCCAGCAAACAGUGAUGAUUUCUGCUCUCGGUUGAAAAAGUCUCUUUUUGCUGUGGAGGUCCCCAGGUGUUAUUGCCAGAAAAGCGAGUCCCCAGAGCUCAGAUUUCCCCUCCUCUACCUCAGGGGGUCACUUCACCUUUCUGCAGCUCAGCUCUCCAGGCUGUGGGAGAGGUUCCAGCUCCACAGGGACAGUGGGGACUGGCUGAUAUGGAAAUGUGCUGAGCCUGGAAACACAUGGUUAUUAUUCACUAAUAAAAGGGAAUUAAAAUCUCCCUGGUGAUAAAAGUUGUAGAAUGCAGUUAUAUUAUUAUGAGCAAGUAAG
rnacentral:lncRNA from 1 species